UUUUGGAAAACUCAAAUCCACGCGGACAAAGUCGCGGGCAUAAGUUAGUUUAUAAUAAGUGGUUAUAAGCAUUUCAGUACUCGGUGUGAUAUACUAUGAUACAUUUAUCUUUUCGUAGUUUGGUGCAUUUUAUAUUUCAGCUAACUUAAACGAGAUUAAAUUCAGGCAGUUACUAAAUUAUGGUCGAAAUUAAAUAAUCUAUCUGUAAUGAUGUGUCGAUAAGUUGCUUAGCAACGUUGUUAUGUCAAUAGUAGGGUAAGGGGUCUUAGACUGUGUAGUAGUAAUAAAAUGAUGUGAUGUUUUGUAUAGCGAUAGUUUAUGGAGCUAGGAUUCAUCAUUAAAGAUAAUAUUUAAAAAAUUGGUUGUCUGUAAAGUCGGUUUACUGACGAUAGUUGAACGUGACAACAAAGGCCGAUUGUGCUUCUUUGUCGCUCGUUCCGCGCUGUCGCUUGC